rnacentral:rRNA from 1 species
CCUACGGGCGGCAGCAGUGAGGAAUAUUGGUCAAUGGGCGGAAGCCUGAACCAGCCAAGUAGCGUGCGGGAUGAAGGCCCUACGUGUCGUAAACCGCUUUUGUACGGGGAUAACACCCUCCACUUGUGGCGGUCUGCAUGUACCGUGCGAAUAAGGACCGGCUAAUUCCGUGCCAGCAGCCGCGGUAAUACGGAGGGCCCGAGCGUUAUCCGGAUUCAUUGGGUUUAAAGGGAGCGUAGGCGGGCUGUCAAGUCAGCGGUAAAAUCGCGGGGCUCAACCGCGCCCCGCAGUUGAAACUGGGCGCCUUGAGUUAACGACAGGCAGGCGGAAUGCGUGGUGUAGCGGUGAAAUGCAUAGAUAUCACGAGGAACCCCGAUUGCGAAGGCAGCCUGCCG